GUUCAAUCUCCGCUUCUAUAUUAGAAAGUUUAGUAGGGAUUCGAAUACGUAUUACUUUUUAUAGGCAGCUCAUGUGGCGAUAUAAUAUCAGGAGUAACUAUAUGGCCUUUGGAGCUCUUAAGUAACAUAAGUUAUAUUUGGAAUACACGUGCGUAAGAGUGGAGUCUAUAAUCGGAUUCAUAAACAUUAAACAUGCACUAAAUAUUUAAACUAGCGCUUGACUGUUAUCACACCUGAUGGAAAGUGAAGAUACAGGAGAUCAAAGGAGAACGCUUGCCCAGAAGAUGCCUAUUCACUCUUUACUUGAAGGUAACCAUAUUGUAGGUGGUGGGGAAAACGAGGUCGGGAAGGUAUUGCAGACCUUAACGGUACGUAUCAGAA